rnacentral:rRNA from 1 species
UACGGAGGGUGCAAGCGUUAUCCGGAUUCACUGGGUUUAAAGGGUGUGUAGGCGGGCUGUUAAGUCAGUGGUGAAAUCUCCGGGCUCAACCCGGAAACUGCCAUUGAUACUAUCAGUCUUGAAUCUUGUUGAGGUAGGCGGAAUAUAUCAUGUAGCGGUGAAAUGCUUAGAUAUGAUAUAGAACACCGAUUGCGAAGGUCAGCUUACUAAAACAAGCAUUGACGCUGAGGCACGAAAGCGUGGGGAUCAAACAGG